ACUUAUUUUUGAAGUGUAGUCUAGACGGAGCACGCCGCGUGAGUGAUGAAGGUUUUCGGAUCGUAAAGCUCUGUUGUUAGGGAAGAACAAGUACCGUUCGAAUAGGGCGGUACCUUGACGGUACCUAACCAGAAAGCCACGGCUAACUACGUGCCAGCAGCCGCGGUAAUACGUAGGUGGCAAGCGUUGUCCGGAAUUAUUGGGCGUAAAGGGCUCGCAGGCGGUUUCUUAAGUCUGAUGUGAAAGCCCCCGGCUCAACCGGGGAGGGUCAUUGGAAACUGGGGAACUUGAGUGCAGAAGAGGAGAGUGGAAUUCCACGUGUAGCGGUGAAAUGCGUAGAGAUGUGGAGGAACACCAGUGGCGAAGGCGACUCUCUGGUCUGUAACUGACGCUGAGGAGCGAAAGCGUGGGGAGCGAACAGGAUUAGAUACCCUGGUAGUCCACGCCGUAAACGAUGAGUGCUAAGUGUUAGGGGGUUUCCGCCCCUUAGUGCUGCAGCUAACGCAUUAAGCACUCCGCCUGGGGAGUACGGUCGCAAGACUGAAACUCAAGAAAUUUUGACGGGGAAAGGGGGGGGGG
rnacentral:rRNA from 1 species